GCACAAUCAAUGAAACACAAGCUUGCAUUAGGAUGCGAAAGAAUACAAAGUCCCUGAGCUAUCUGUCUGUCUUUGUGGCCGGUCCAGAUUGAAUGAGGGAUUACGUAG
rnacentral:snoRNA from 1 species